rnacentral:piRNA from 1 species
UAAAUUUUCGCUACUAUUAUA